GAAAACAGAUUGGGCAGGCUAUUGUACCACACUUUAUUACCUAGUGAAAUGUAAUUUGAUCCAUUUGCAGGAGGAAGAACCAAGAUGCUUGUUUCAGAAUUCAAUUGCUCCAGAAAGAUGAAACCUAAGAAGAGAAAUGUAUCUUUGAGAUCCUACCGUGAUUUUGGGAAAGAGCAUUUGGGGCUUCAGACACAUUAGACCCAACUUUCCACACAGCUCUUUCAUUGCUGCUGCCACAAUCCAUGUGAAGGCAAAGUCCAUUGGUGCAGAAUCCAUGGACCAGGACAGCAGAUGGAAGCAGCUGGGAGCAGUCCAAGCUGAACUGCUUUGGUUUGAAACCAAGAAAUUGCUUUUAGAGAACCAUCUAAGUGACUUCUUUGGCAAGAAAUCUGCGGUACUGCCAGUCCCAUGGCAUUCAGAAUUCAGUCCCAUGUAUUCAGAAUGCCCCUCCUCAUUUAUGGAUUUUUAAUACAAAGAAAUGUUGAGAUCCCUUAAUUAAAUGUCUUAAUGUGUUGGAGCCUUUGAACUUCUCAUUCUUGACCCCUUCUUUGAAACCAAGUAGCUAAAAACCCCUUCACUUUAAAAUAAAAUUAAAUUCA